UGUGUGUGUGUGUGUGUGUGUGUGUGUGUGUGUGUGUGUGUGUGUGUGUCAGGAGCACCCUCUGCUGGGUCAGCCUUUCUUCAUGCUUCACCCCUGCAGGACGGAGGAGUUCAUGCGUCCGGUGCUGCAGGCGGCUCAGGACCAACACAGGCCGGUGAACUACGUGUUGUCGUGGCUCAGUGUGGUGGGUCCUGUGGUGGGGCUGGACGUCCCUCUGAAGUACUCCACCCUGCUGCACCCUGCGCCCCCCCCCGGCAGCACAGAGCCAGGCUGACUCCACCCCCCUGUGUCCCUCAGCAUCACUAUGGAGCCCCCCUGUACGGAGGCUGCAUCACUAAUUAGACCCUCAGAGGCUGAAGGUGGACUGUGUGUCAGAGUCCUGCACAGGUCUGAUUGUCAAGAUCCGCAAACUGACCCGAACCCGCUUAUCCUAUGAGCAUUAAAAAUGUGCAAUUAUUAA